AAUACUGAAUAAAGGAGAUGAAGCCUUCUCAAAAACUGUUCCAGUAUAGAAUGGUUUAUCGACUUAUGAUGUCAUAAAAACUUGGGUGCGAGCGUCCACCAGGAAAAUUUUGAUCGAAGUACAGAAUUUUCUUGAAUCCGAGGACGAUAAUGUUUUUAUCAGCUGAUUGUAGAGGAGGAGUUUUGUCAGUGUUCGAUGGGUACUAACGUCAUAUUGUGGCUGCAUCACUUUUGUUUGGUACUUUGUGACACUGGGAAGAUAGAAUUUAAAAAAUGGACAUGGCGCUAUAUUACUGCAUCAGAGAUCAAUUCAGGUUUACUUAAAAUUUGAAGAAAAACAGUCAAGCAUCAUUU